ensembl:snRNA U6 U6 spliceosomal RNA
GUGCUCGCUUCGGCAGCAUAUAUAUUAAAAUUGGAACUGUACAGAGAAUAUUAGCAUGGCCCCUGCGCAAGGAUGACACGCAAAUUUGUGAAGCGUUCCAUAUUUUU